rnacentral:rRNA from 1 species
AUUGAACGCUGGCGGCAGGCUUAACACAUGCAAGUCGAGCGGAGAUGAGGUGCUUGCACCUUAUCUUAGCGGCGGACGGGUGAGUAAUGCUUAGGAAUCUGCCUAUUAGAGGGGGACAACAUUCCGAAAGGAAUGCUAAUACCGCAUACGCCCUACGGGGGAAAGCAGGGGAUCUUCGGACCUUGCGCUAAUAGAUGAGCCUAAGUCGGAUUAGCUAGUUGGUGGGGUAAAGGCCUACCAAGGCGACGAUCUGUAGCGGGUCUGAGAGGAUGAUCCGCCACACUGGGACUGAGACACGGCCCAGACUCCUACGGGAGGCAGCAGUGGGGAAUAUUGGACAAUGGGCGGAAGCCUGAUCCAGCCAUGCCGCGUGUGUGAAGAAGGCCUUUUGGUUGUAAAGCACUUUAAGCCAGGAGGAGGCUACCUGGAUUAAUACUCUAGGAUAGUGGACGUUACUCGCAGAAUAAGCACCGGCUAACUCUGUGCCAGCCGCCGCUGUAAGAC